CAGUCGCCGCGGUAACACGUAGGUGGCAGCGUUGUCCGGAAUUAUUGGGCGUAAAGGGCUCGCAGGCGGUUUCUUAAGUCUGAUGUGAAAGCCCCCGGCUCAACCGGGGAGGGUCAUUGGAAACUGGGAAACUUGAGUGCAGAAGAGGAGAGUGGAAUUCCACGUGUAGCGGUGAAAUGCGUAGAGAUGUGGAGGAACACCAGUGGCGAAGGCGACUCUCUGGUCUGUAACUGACGCUGAGGAGCGAAAGCGUGGGGAGCGAACAGGAUUAGAUACCCGUGUAGUCCCUGUCUCUUAUACA
rnacentral:rRNA from 1 species